rnacentral:rRNA from 1 species
AAUGAACGUUGGCGGCAUGGAUUAGGCAUGCAAGUCGAGCGAGAAGAGUUUUGAAGCUUGCUUUAGAACUCGGACAGCGGCGAAAGGGAGAGUAACGCGUAGUUGUGUACCCUAGGGUCCGGAAUAGCCACGGGAAACUGUGGGUAAUGCCGGAUAAUAUCCCCGGAUCAAAGGUGUGAUUCCGCCCUAGGAGCAGACUGCGUCCUACUAGCUAGUUGGUGGGGUAAUGGCCCACCAAGGCAACGAUGGGUAGCGGGUGUGAGAGCAUGACCCGUCUCACGAGGACUGAGACACUGCCCAGACACCUACGGGUGGCUGCAGUCGAGAAUCUUCGGCAAUGGGCGAAAGCCUGACCGAGCGAUGCCGCGUGCGGGGUGAAGGCCCUCGGGUUGUAAACCGCUGUCGUAGGGGAGGAAGGUUUCGUGAAGAGCGAGACUUGGCCUAUCCUAGGAGGAAGUACGGGCUAAGUUCGUGCCAGCAGCCGCAGUAAAAC